GAAAAGAAAUCAACCGAGAUUCCCUCAGUAGCGGCGAGCGAACGGGGAAAAGCCUGGCAUAUUUUAGCAAGAAUCAUAGCAGAACGACUUGGGAAGGUCGGCCAUAGACGGUGAUAGCCCGGUAUGCGAAAUGUCUCUUGUGGAACUAGGUAUGCGAACAAGUAGAGCGGAACACGUGAAAUUCUGUUUGAAGAUGGGGGGACCAUCCUCCAAGGCU
rnacentral:rRNA from 1 species